AACGCACAUUGCGCCCCCUGGCAUUCCGGGGGGCAUGCCUGUUCGAGCGUCUCUUGACGAAAACUCGCGCCAGUGACGGGCGCGGUCUUGGCAGGCGGAGGCGAGCCCGGAGGGGCGGCCACCGCGCUGGAAUGCAUGGGCGGAAGCCAGCCCCGUGGCCGAGCGUGAUGUGACACAGUUGUCGCUCGUGCGCGGCGAGGCUUCCAGCCAUUGCCCGUUUGUCGGGCGGGGAGUAACGACUCAUUGGGAACUCCUCGAAUCAGGUAGGGAUACCCGCUGAACUUAA
rnacentral:misc_RNA from 1 species